UACGUAGGGCGCGAGCGUUGUCCGGAAUUAUUGGGCGUAAAGGGUUGGUAGGUGGUCUCAUUUGUCUGGGGUGAAAGCCUUGGGCUUAACUCAAGAAGUGCCCCAGAAACGGUGAGACUGGAGUCCUGGAGAGGGUCGUGGAAUUCCCGGUGUAGCGGUGAAAUGCGUAGAGAUCGGGAGGAACACCAGAGGCGAAGGCGGCGACCUGGACAGGUACUGACACUCAACUACGAAAGCGUGGGGAGCAAACAGG
rnacentral:rRNA from 1 species